GACGGGGGAUGCAAGUGUUAUCCGGAAUCACUGGGCGUAAAGCGUCUGCAGGCGGUUUCCUAAGUCCACUGUUAAACCUUGAGGCUCAACCUCAAAUCUGCAUUGGAAACUAGGAGACUUGAGUAUAGUAGGGGUAGAGGGAAUUUCCAGUGGAGCGGUGAAAUGCGUAGAUAUUGGAAAGAACACCGAUGGCGAAGGCACUCUACUGGGCUAUUACUUACACUCAGAGACGAAAGCUAGGGGAGCAAAUGGG
rnacentral:rRNA from 1 species